rnacentral:rRNA from 1 species
GUGGGGAAUUUUGCGCAAUGGGGGAAACCCUGACGCAGCAACGCCGCGUGAGUGAUGAAGGCCUUCGGGUCGUAAAGCUCUGUCAGAGGGGAAGAAAUGCAGGGGUGCUAAUAUCAUCUUUGCUUGACGGUACCCUCAAAGGAAGCACCGGCUAACUCCGUGCCAGCAGCCGCGGUAAUACGGAGGGUGCGAGCGUUGUUCGGCAUUAUUGGGCGUAAAGCGCGUGUAGGCGGUUUGGUAAGUCUGAUGUGAAAGCCCCGGGCUCAACCUGGGAAGUGCAUUGGAAACUGUCAGACUUGAAUACGGGAGAGGGUAGUGGAAUUCCUAGUGUAGGAGUGAGAUCCGUAGAUAUUAGAAGGAACACCGGUGGCGAAGGCGGCUACCUGGACCGAUAUUGACGCUGAGACGCGAAAGCGUGGGGAGCAAACAGGAUUAGAAACCCCAGUAGUCC